GCACAAGCGGUGGAGCAUGUGGUUUAAUUCGACGCAACGCGAAGAACCUUACCUGGGCUCGAAAUGUAGUGGAAUCCGGUAGAAAUAUCGGCGCCCCGCAAGGGGCCGCUAUAUAGGUGCUGCAUGGCUGUCGUCAGCUCGUGUCGUGAGAUGUUGGGUUAAGUCCCGCAACGAGCGCAACCCUUAUCUCCAGUUGCUACCAUUUAGUUGAGCACUCUGGCGAAACCGCCUCGGAUAACGGGGAGGAAGGUGGGGAUGACGUCAAGUCCUCAUGGCCUUUAUGUCCAGGGCUACACACGUGCUACAAUGGCCGGUACAAACCGCUGCAAACCCGCGAGGGGGAGCUAAUCGGAAAAAGCCGGCCUCAGUUCGGAUUGGAGUCUGCAACUCGACUCCAUGAAGCUGGAAUCGCUAGUAAUCGCGGAUCAGAAUGCCGCGGUGAAUACGUUCCCGGGC
rnacentral:rRNA from 1 species